rnacentral:snRNA from 1 species
CUGACCAUUGGACAUGGUC